rnacentral:rRNA from 1 species
CAAUAGCGUAUAUUAAUGUUGUUGCAGUUAAAAAGCUCGUAGCCGACUCUCGGGGCUGUCGCAACGGUCCGCAGAAAUGUGAGCACUGUUGCGGCCGCCUCUUCCUUCUGGACACCAUGUCUUCUCUUCACUGAGCGGAUGUGGGGGCCAGAUCGUUCACUUUGAACAAAUUAGAGUGUUCAAAGCAGGCCUCCGCCUGAAUACUUGAGCAUGGAAUGAUAUCAAUAGGUUCUUCCUUCUCGUUUAUUGGUGAUGAGAAGGAAGAAAAUGAGAAAGGGGAAUGGUUGGGGCCAUUCGUACUGCAGCGUUAGAGGUGAAAUUCUUGGAUCGCUGCAAGACGAACAACAGCGAAAGCAUUUGGCAGGAACGUUUCCACCGG